rnacentral:rRNA from 1 species
UACGUAGGGGGCUAGCGUUAUCCGGAUUUACUGGGCGUAAAGGGUGCGUAGGCGGUCUUUUAAGUCAGGAGUGAAAGGCUACGGCUCAACCGUAGUAAGCUCUUGAAACUGGAGGACUUGAGUGCAGGAGAGGAGAGUGGAAUUCCUAGUGUAGCGGUGAAAUGCGUAGAUAUUAGGAGGAACACCAGUAGCGAAGGCGGCUCUCUGGACUGUAACUGACGCUGAGGCACGAAAGCGUGGGGAGCAAACAGGAUUAGAAACCCUAGUAGUCC